CGUAUGGGGAAGCUUUGAUUCCCCAUACAAAUUUCGCUGUGACGCAGACGCGAUAGUAACGUUUCGUACUCGAUGAAAACUCGCACUAGGCACACAGUAAAGAGUAUUUUCCUCGCAUCGUGUCUCCUAAGCAGUAUUGGACAACGUUUGCGUCGCAAUUUACGAAGGCGGUCGUUUAAAAAGUGAAUUUUCCUACGGAUGUAUGCCUUCACCUUAAGAUCAUAUUUCAGUAUUCUGUUGAUUGAUACGCACGAAUAACAGUCUGCAGUGCGAGUUUUUUCUGAGUGCGACAUGGAUUUCGGCGAAGUCGCUCUCUGAUGAUUUUGAUAUUCGCAGGCGUCCUCACAGAGCGUGGCCGGCCACUUCUUUGACGAUCUUGCAAAGAAUUAGUCUCCUUGUAUCGUUUGAUAGUGUAAUACACGAAGUUACGGCUCACACCAAAAAUUUUCACCUCACGGAAAAUCUCUGCAAUCAAAAGCUCAUUCCCAUUUUCUUGGUUCUCUUUUCACGUCCAGAUGAUGUCACAUAAGCUUGACCAGUAAACAGUAUUUACUAAAUGCUUGCGCCCAAAUUUUGACUGGCAACCCAGUCGAUAUAUUAUAUUCUCCUGAUUAUAAAUAUACAUAAAAUUUUGGUUUAAGCAAAAAAACUACGAACACACUAAUCCUGCGGUGGGAUCUUAUAAUAGAUAAAUGAUAUCUCUUAACAUUAACAUGAAAACAGUACAAAACCACUCACUUCAUAAUUCUGCAACUUCGGAGUUAGGAGCGUUAUAAGUUAUAAUUGGUAAAAAGUGACGUAAAAGAAAAUUGAUUAGGCUGACGACUAUCUUCAGCGCUAGGGCGUUUAUGUGAUUAAUAAUUUAAUUAAAUAUGUCGUUAUUAGUUCAAUUAAUAGACUUUCUAAAUUGUUAAUAAUACAGUUGACCUUUUGUUUUGUUAAUUUUUAUAAGCUCUUUAUUUAAUAAUAAAACUAGAAAAAUGAAA